rnacentral:sRNA from 1 species
AGGAAAGCCCUGGAUUCCAAAGUCCUCUAUUCAUUACAGAACAAAUACAGCAUGAGCAAGACCAGGUCAAUCCAUUGCCCUGCCAAUGUGACUGAUGCCUGACUUGGGGAAGCCACCUUCUGAGGUGAGAUGAUAGCACAGCUUUUCAUACCAUUUUUCUUUGGCCUCU